rnacentral:lncRNA from 1 species
UAUAACCCUCCACAGGUAACCACCUCUUUACCUUCUGAACCUUCACUAGAGGAACUUGUCAAGCAAAUGGUUGUAAACAAUCUCCAAUUUCAGAAGCGAACAGAUUCUAGUAUUCAGACUUUACAAACACAAAUGGGACAACUUGCUACUCAAAUAAAUAACAUGCAAGCCCAAGGGUCGAACCAGCUUCCAGCCCAAACAGUUGUCAAUCCAAAGGAUUCUAAUGCUAAUGUAAGUGAAAUUUCCUUGAGAUCCGAAAAAG